AGCAAGACAAGUCUCUGGUUAGCAUUGAGGCAGAUUCUCACUUCCUCUUUUGCCUUUAAUUGGAGAAGAGGGGGAAAAAGAGCCACAAGGAGACCUAAUGGAGGCGCUCAAGCCUCUGAGGACUCAGAGGUUCUGGGCAAAGUGCAGAGUCCAGUAGCUGUUUUUGGAACCCAACAUAUCUCAAGGACAGAGUAUGGGCUGGACUGUGAUCCAAGGUAAGGUAGAGACAGUGGGAGGGUAGUCCAGAACCGGGAGGCAUGGGGCUUAGACCCUGCUGGGAUCCCUCGUAGCAGGGGGAGGAGCAGAAAGGGCGAAUUCAGGCAACACCUCUCCUGCAUACAGGGCACACAGACUCCUGAAUGUGGCUAUCUUAGGCCAGGGCCCAGCAGGCUUCUCCUUUAGCCUCAGAACAGCAGAGGAUUCUGGUUGCUGUGGGUGCUGAGCGUGGGGACAAGAUGGGGAGUGAGUGUCUCAGACACACUGCUAGGCUUCCCAGUGUGGGCAAGCUCUUCUAAUAUCCAAACCACCGGUUCUUCAGCAGUUCUCUCCACUCCCACAUGCUCCCUCUCACUUCUGCUCCCCAGGGUUUACCCUACCCUCAGUUCACAAGCUUCUUCCUUCCUCUGCCCUGUGGCUUUGCCUGGGAGGCCUUUUUUUUUUUUAUUUCUGCCCGGAGGCAUUGCAGACAUUCCUGACGGAUUUCAGGCAGUAUCUGGCUAGUGGCUCAUCUGCCAUGGAAUGUGCUUUACCUCCUGUCUCCCCCAAGGUGACCUAUGCUCUGGAGUAUUGUGGAACUGAACAGCUAGCCAUUUUCCAGAGAGGACAGUGUGUGCGGAUCUCAACUAGUGUACCUGGCCAUGUGACGCAGGCAGCCACGUCAUCGACCCACAUCUCAAUUCUCUUGUGGUUUUGUGGUGAGCCUCAGAUUAAAUCAUAGCUGCCUGGCAGCUGAGACUUGUGAGAGAGUUGCCUACUCCCUGGAUCACCUGAGAUGGGCACAGUCACAGGCUGAUCAAGGUAGACCAAGGAUCCUGAGAAGGCUCUGUGCCUUGACAGCAUGCAGAGAGCUUGACCCACCUGUCAGAGAUAGGGGAUGGGAGAAAUAUGCAGCCAUCUUGGCUUGAAAAGAAAAUUAUACGAAUUCUAGGUUUAAAAAUAUAAAAUUAAAAGAGUUAGCCCCAAAAGCCACAAACUCAGGGCUAAGCCCUGCCGCCAGGAAUAGCAGGCCAUAAAGAUAAAGAAAAG
rnacentral:lncRNA from 1 species